rnacentral:tRNA from 1 species
GCCCCCGUAGCUCAGGGGAUAGAGCUAUGGUUUCCUAAACCAUGAGUCGGAUGUUCGAAUCAUCUCGGGGGCACCA